AAAGGGGAAGCAAGGAAAAGAUGGAGAACCUGGAUUGCCAGGUUUGUCUGGUUUUCCCGGUGAUCCUGGCACAUCUGGCAUCCCAGGAAGAGAUGGAGACAAAGGUCAAAAAGGAGAAGCUGGUUUUCCUGGCCCACCUGGAUUGGUAAGUCUUAAUCCUAUCUCUUCUGCUUCCUCCUUUAAAUUGCAUUUCAGGCAGAUUCUUCUUCCUAUUUCAAAGGUAUUUCUUCAGUGAGCGUCUUUUAGAACUUUUUCUUUUGCCAUUAUUAAAUCCUGUGGUAUAAAAACAUUUUUUUUAAAAAAAAUGGCAAUGCAAUAUGUUUGUUCUUGCCUUAGUCCUAAUUGAGAGGGGUAUUGUAUCUGCUUGCGUCCUCGUACAUUAAAGCUAUUGCAAUAUUCAGAAGAAUGACCAGCUUAAAAUGUUUCUUUUACAGCCAUUCAUUUGGUGACCUUUUAAAGUUA